UACGGAGGGUGCAAGCGUUAUCCGGAUUCACUGGGUUUAAAGGGUGCGUAGGUGGCUUUGUAAGUCAGUGGUGAAAUCUUAGAGCUUAACUCUAAAACUGCCAUUGAUACUGCUUAGCUUGAAUCAAGUAGAGGUGGAUGGAAUAUUACAUGUAGCGGUGAAAUGCUUAGAUAUGUAAUAGAACACCGAUUGCGAAGGCAGUUCACUAUGCUUGUAUUGACACUGAGGCACGAAAGCGUGGGGAGCAAACAGG
rnacentral:rRNA from 1 species